GGGUGGUAAUGCCGGAUGUUCCACAUGAUCGCAUGUGAUUGUGGGAAAGAUUCUAUCGGCGUGGGAUGGGGUCGCGUCCUAUCAGCUUGUUGGUGAGGUAACGGCUCACCAAGGCUUCGACGGGUAGCCGGCCUGAGAGGGCGACCGGCCACAUUGGGACUGAGAUACGGCCCAGACUCCUACGGGAGGCAGCAGUGGGGAAUAUUGCACAAUGGGCGCAAGCCUGAUGCAGCGACGCCGCGUGAGGGAUGGAGGCCUUCGGGUUGUAAACCUCUUUUGUUUGGGAGCAAGCCUUCGGGUGAGUGUACCUUUCGAAUAAGCGCCGGCUAACUACGUGCCAGCAGCCGCGGUAAUACGUAGGGCGCAAGCGUUAUCCGGAUUUAUUGGGCGUAAAGGGCUCGUAGGCGGCUCGUCGCGUCCGGUGUGAAAGUCCAUCGCUUAACGGUGGAUCUGCGCCGGGUACGGGCGGGCUGGAGUGCGGUAGGGGAGACUGGAAUUCCCGGUGUAACGGUGGAAUGUGUAGA
rnacentral:rRNA from 1 species